AGCACCAAGCAGAAGACAGAGUUUGUGGUGGACAAUGGACUCAACCCUGUAUGGCCAGCCAAGCCCUUCCACUUCCAGAUCAGUAACCCUGAAUUUGCCUUUCUGCGCUUCGUGGUGUAUGAGGAAGACAUGUUUAGUGACCAGAAUUUCCUGGCUCAGGCUACUUUCCCAGUAAAAGGCCUGAAGACAGGAUACAGAGCAGUGCCUUUGAAGAAUAACUACAGUGAGGACCUGGAGUUGGCCUCCCUGCUGAUCAAGAUUGACAUUUUCCCUGCCAAGCAGGAGAAUGGUGACCUCAGUCCCUUCAGUGGUACGUCCCUGCGGGAGCGGGGCUCAGAUGCCACAGGCCAGCUGUUUCACGGCCGAGCCCGGGAAGGCUCCUUUGAAUCCCGCUACCAGCAGCCGUUUGAGGACUUCCGCAUCUCCCAGGAGCAUCUCGCAGACCAUUUUGACAGUCGAGAACGAAGGGCCCCAAGAAGGACUCGGGUCAAUGGAGACAACCGCCUCUAGUUGUACCCCAGCCUCGUUGGAGAGCAGCAGACCAACUCUUCAGCCAGUGCAUGCAGGGCU
rnacentral:sRNA from 1 species